UACGUAGGUGGCAAGCGUUGUCCGGAAUUAUUGGGCGUAAAGCGCGCGCAGGCGGUCUUUUAAGUCUGAUGUGAAAGCCCACGGCUCAACCGUGGAGGGUCAUUGGAAACUGGGAGACUUGAGUGCAGAAGAGAAGAGUGGAAUUCCACGUGUAGCGGUGAAAUGCGUAGAGAUGUGGAGGAACACCAGUGGCGAAGGCGACUCUUUGGUCUGUAACUGACGCUGAGGCGCGAAAGCGUGGGUAGCAAACAGG
rnacentral:rRNA from 1 species